UACGAAGGGUGCAAACGUUGCUCGGAAUUAUUGGGCGUAAAGCGCACGUAGGCGGCUAUCUAAGUCGGAUGUGAAAUCCCUCGGCUUAACCAAGGAAGUGCACCCGAAACUGGAUAGCUUGAGUACAGAAGAGGAUCGCGGAAUUCCCGGUGUAGAGGUGAAAUGCGUAGAUAUUGGGAGGAACACCAGUGGCGAAGGCGGCUCACUGGACCGGAACUGACGCUGAGGCGCGAAAGCGUGGGGAGCAAACGGG
rnacentral:rRNA from 1 species